GAUGAAGAACGCAGCGAAAUGCGAUACGUAAUGUGAAUCGCAGAAUUCAGUGAAUCAUCGAAUCUUUGAACGCAUAUUGCGCUCUUUGGUAUUCCGAAGAGCAUGCUUGUUUGAGUAUCAGUAAACACCUCAAAGACUUCAAUUUGUUUUGAAUGGCUUUGGACUUGAGCAAUCCCAACACCAGUCUUUACGAUCGGUGGAGGGUUGCUUGAAAUGCAGGUGCAGCUGGACAUUCUCCUGAGCUAAAAGCAUAUUUAUUUAGUCCCGUCAAACGGAUUAUUACUUUGGCUGCAGCUAACAUAAAGGGAGUUUGACCGUAUUGGCUGACUGAUGCAGGAUUUCACAAGGGUCGGCAACGAUUCUUGUAAAACUCGAUCUCAAAUCAAGUAAGACUACCCGCUGAACUUAAGCAUAUCAAUAAGCGGAGGA
rnacentral:misc_RNA from 1 species